UACAGAGGGUGCGAGCGUUAAUCGGAAUUACUGGGCGUAAAGCGCACGUAGGCGGCUUGGUAUGUCGGGUGUGAAAUCCCCGGGCUCAACCUGGGAACUGCAUCCGAAACUGCCUUGCUCGAGUAUGGGAGAGGGAAGUGGAAUUUCCGGUGUAGCGGUGAAAUGCGUAGAGAUCGGAAGGAACAUCAGUGGCGAAGGCGACUUCCUGGACCAAUACUGACGAUCAGGUGCGAAAGAGUGGGGAGCAAACAGG
rnacentral:rRNA from 1 species